GCUGAGGUAGUGUAGUGGUUAGCACGUAGGAUUUUGAUACGACAUCUUUGAUGAACAUUGAUUUCCUGAAUCCCCGGUUCGAACCCGGGCCACAGCU